AGGGCACCACCAGGAGUGGAGCCUGCGGCUUAAUUUGACUCAACACGGGAAAACUCACCCGGCCCGGACACUGGAAGGAUUGACAGAUUGAGAGCUCUUUCUUGAUUCAGUGGGUGGUGGUGCAUGGCCGUUCUUAGUUGGUGGAGCGAUUUGUCUGGUUAAUUCCGAUAACGAACGAGACUCUAGCCUACUAAAUAGAUCGUCGGCUUACAAACGCCGAUGAGACUUCUUAGAGGGACAGGCGGCGAUUCAGCCGCACGAAACAGAGCAAUAACAGGUCUGUGAUGCCCUUAGAUGUCCGGGGCCGCACGCGCGCUACACUGAAGUGAUCAGCGUGCAUUUUCAGCCUACUCUGCCAAGAGUGGGAAACCCAAUGAACCUUCUUCGUGAUUGGGAUAGGGGAUUGUAAUUAUUCCCCUUGAACGAGGAAUUCCCAGUAAGCGCGAGUCAUAAGCUCGCGUUGAUUACGUCCCUGCCCUUUGUACACACCGCCCGUCGCUACUACCGAUUGAAUGUUUU
rnacentral:rRNA from 1 species